AUGUAUAAGUACAUUUUUUGAAACUGCGAACGGCUCAUUAGAGGUUAUAUAAAGUUUUGGGCUGCCUUUUAGGCUAUCUUCGACAAAUUGAAGCUAAUACAUGCAAACAUGUCCUUUUCGAAGGGCGCAAUAUUAGAACUACUGGCUUGCCGGCGGUUGAUUUCAAUUAUCGUUUCGAUAUCGGAAGGCGACUUCCGAUGGCCGUAAACUGUGUACGCCCUAUCACCCAGCAGGUUAAUCAUUCGCUAACCAGGGGUAUUACGGGUAACGGAGAACUAGGGUUCGUCUCCGGAGAAGAAGCCUUUGAAAGGCUACUACAUCCAAGGAAGGCAGCAGGCGCGUAACUUAUCCACUACCACAGUGAGAUAGUAACUAGUCUUAACUAUUGACUGAUCUUUUAGGUUAGUCAUGGUCCAUGAGUUGAGCCUAAAUAGCUCUUCGAGGACCAAGUGGAGGGCAAGUCUGGUGCCAGCAGCCGCGGUAAUUCCAGCUCCACUAGCGUAAAAUAUUACUGCUGCGGUUAAAAAGCUCGUAGUUGAAUCUAGUCGUGUCCGUUGGGUUUGUCGUUGGCGUUUAUUCGUCUUUGGCGUUAAUUCACGGCCGAUUUUUGCUGGUUUGCUGUUGGUCUUCGGAUCUUCGGUGGCUAGCGAGUUACUUUGAUCAAAUCAGAGUGCUCAAAACAGGCGAAAGCUUGUAUGAUUUCUCGAGGAAUAACAGAAGAGGACUUCGGUUCUAUUUGUUGGUUCCAGAAUCGUUUAAUGGUUAAGAGGGACAAUUCGGGGGCAAACGUAUCCUCGCGCGAGGGGUGAAAUCCGUAGACCGUGAGGAGACGACCAAUAGCGAAAGCAUUUGCCAA
rnacentral:rRNA from 1 species